rnacentral:lncRNA from 1 species
CAAAUUAUCUACAACUCACAUUGUUUCUUUUCUUCAAUCCAAUUCAAUUCAAUUCAAUUCAUCUAUAGAAAUAGAAAUGGCCUCCAACUCCAACACAAGCCCGCACCAUUCUGGAAAUUCGUCAGUGAAAUUCGACAAGGAUGCGCGAACAAAGGUGAUUCCACCUAAAGACCUCAACAUUGUAUGGGGCAACGACACCCGCUACUGGAACGUAAAGUGAGUAGUCCAUCCAUCGUUUUUAAUUAAAUGAAUAUAUAUAUAUAUAUAUAUUAAUUAAUGUGUGUUUUUGAUUUAGUGAUGUGGCGGAAUUGCAUCAAGUGAGCUGGCUAGAGGUGACCGGCGGCGUGGAGGGAGCCUCGGCGGCGAAGAGCUACGAAGUAGGGUUUUCCGUGUCGUUGAAUCCAGAUGCAUUUGGGUGGGGAAAGUAUCCCAUUUAUAUCAUGAUUAAGAGAGGGAAGGAAGAGAAGGUUUCGUGGACUAAGAUUUCGAUAAACCCUAAUCACCAGAAAACCCCGUUUGAGAUUAGAGGGAGGUUGCUCAAAUCUGAUCAUUCCACCGACAUUGGGAAGCUCAGCUUCGGAUUGUACGAGGUUUGGAGUGGCAAGUGGAAGGGAGGNCCUUUAAUUCUGGAGUCAGUGGUGGGUUGGACAAAAGCCGUUGAAGUUUACUUUUCCUAGACUUUUUCAGUUGAGUGCUAAUAAAGAAGCUGCAAUCUGUGAAGUUGGGGAACGGACUGAUUCUGGAUGGUGUUGGGAUUUAAGGUGGAGAAGAGAGCUAUUUGAGAGAGAGGGAAGGAGUUUCGGAGUUGCUUAGCCUUGUUUCUGGUACUAAUCUGUGUGCAGGUAACAAGGACGGAUGGACAUGGAGUGGCGACAUCGGGAGAGGCUUUACAACCAAGUCCGCUUAUGAAGCUUGACUCAUCCAAAAACACCUAACGGAUGGACUCGAAUUUAUACGAGGUCGUCCUAGGGUGGUAAGGUGACUCAAGUCGUCUCACAAGGAAGACUUAGCAGGGCUCUAAUCGUAUUGCUCACAAGAAACUUAAAAGAAAUCUAAACACUCUAAUCGGGUAAUUGGGUCUGACACUUUCUCUCCGAUUAACUAAUGCGUAAUUAAAAUAAAGCAUAUAAAGUUAACUAGGCAAAAGAUAGGAAGCCAAUAAGAACGCAAGAAGGAAAACAAAGCUAAGGUUCUAAACUAGCAAUCUAGAAAGCAAUCAUCAAUUCAACACCAUAAACAACGAUUAUCUAGGCGAAAUAACACAUUAACAUUUAAUCAAAUGAAUGUUAAGCAAACACACACAAUCCAAGAGAAUUCCGCAAGCAACUCAACGACGAACUAACUAGAACAUGGUAUUUGAACAUUAACGAAAUCAACAAGAGUUUCCAACUCCAACACUAAACCAAACGAUCAUAAACUUGUAAACAUCAAAGAUUAAUAACUACCUAGGCAAGAAACUAAAUCAAGCAUAAGAUUCGAAUGCAAAGAAAAUCUUAAUCUCCAAUCAUCACAUUCAUCAAAGCAUAAAACACAAAACUUAAUUAACCAAAAGAUUCAUAUAACCAAGAAAAUAUAGCAUCAACAACAAUGAUCUUCAAUCAUCAUAUUCAUCAAAGACAUGAAACAAAAACUCAAAUAACCAAGGGAUUCAUAAACAAAGAGAAUCAAAGGGAGUUCUUACAAACAUAGCAAUCCAGGAAACCAAUCCGAUGAAGUGUUAAUUGACAUCCAAAGCAAUCCAAUGAAUCCACAAUCGAAAGUAAUUGAUUUGAAACUCUAAAAACCCAAGGAAAAAUGUGGAAAUCGCCCUUGGAGGCUGCUGGGUCGAGAAGUGAUAAAGUGAAACCCUAGAAAGGGGUUUUUAAACGAAAAAGUGUACUGUCGGAUCUGCACAGAGGCGGCGGCGCCGUGAGCGCCAUUCGCAGUUUCCUCCAAAAUCAAGCACGGCCCGCGCCGUAGAGCCGCGGCCGCCGUCUCUGCGGCGGCGGCCGUGGCACGGCGGCGGCCGUGAGGUUGUCUUCGAAAAUUGCUCCGAUCGAUGCUAAAAACACUUGACAACUCUCGAUUCCUGCACACGACAGUAAUCUAUCCAAAAAGGUCAUCGAGCACGUGAAAUAUAAGGCAAAAAGUCCUGAAACAUGCUCGAAUGCACAACAAAAAUAUACGCAAAAACUGCCCAAAUACGAGGUAAACAAAGCUAUUAAAGAUCAAGCAAACGAGACUACGGAGGCGGUGGAGAAAACUGAUAUGAGUACGAAGGUGUGGAAGAUCCCUAUUCCAAACAAAGUCAAGCUUACCGCAUGGAGAAUUUUGAAGAACAGAAUUCCGACGUGUGACAAUCUCUCGAGAAGAAAUGUGAUGUUGUGUGAAGUUGAGGUGGGAUGUAACGCCUGUUUUCAUCGGCAGGAAUCCACGAACCACUUGUUGAUCCACUGUCCAAAGACCUCAAAGGUAUGGGAAGCAAUCUUUCAAUGGCUCGGAGUUAGCAUGGCGCAGCCAUAUGACGUGUCCUCGCACUUUCAGUUCUUUACUAGUUUGAGUGGCCGGAAAAGAAAUAAGAAGCUCUUGAUGGCUCUUUGGUGUUGUACUACUUGGCUUAUUUGGAAAAUGCGUAAUGAGAGUAGAUUUGAGAACAAAAUAUGGGAGAGUGCAAACUUGUUUGGAGAAAUCAAAGCUAGAGUGUGGAGUUGGGGUAGAAUUUUUGGUUUUGUUAAUGAUGGAGUUGGGAUUCAUAGGUGGAUGUCGAAUGAUGAAUCACCGAUGAUUUUGUAAUCUUCUUGGUACUACUGGUGUCUUUUCGUUCUAUAAUAUUUACUUUCCUUAUCAAAAAAAAAAAAAAUAGAGGAGGAAGUCACUGCAUUCGGUACCAUUUACCCAAAGCAAAAUACAAGUAUUGAAGAGCAGAUUCUUAUUAUGUGGGAGCAACAAAAUAUACAGCUAAUACAUGCACGUAAACGUAUUAUUAAUUGAUGAAAUAUCUAAAACGAUUCCAGCCAACCAGGGGGCUUAGCCCACUGGCCACCGGGUCCUCACUUAAGUGAAGUGACCCGGGUUCGAUCCCUCUUGGGAACGAAUUGGUGAUUGGAGAUAUAAGGUGGAGUUUGGUGAAUGGAGAGAUAAGGUGGUUCUUGGAGUGGAUGGGGAACUAACUACUAACAUCUAACAUGACUUUGACCGAUCAAAAAAAAAAAAAAAAAAUACUAAAACGAUUCCAGCCGACUAAGUUUACUUACGUAGCGUUGUGACAUGCUUAGUUGGAAUUUUAAAGUAGUCCAAGUUUGGAGGCCACUUCUCUUUUCCCACGCGCACAUUUUAUUCGAUAUAAUCCAAACGCUUGCCAAUCUUUGCCUUAAGCAUUUAUUCCUUUUUACAUUAACUUUCGCCGUUUUUCCAGAAAAGGAUAAAAGUAAAGAUACUCUUAUAAGUAUAAAUAUGAGGGGCAGCCAUCAAAUUAUCUACAACUCACAUUGUUUCUUUUCUUCAAUCCAAUUCAAUUCAAUUCAUACUAAUAGAAAUAGAAAUGGCCUCCAACUCCAACACAAGCCCGCACCAUUCUGGGAAUUCGUCAGCGAAAUUCAACAAGGAUGAACGAACAAAGGUGAUUCUACCUAAAGACCUCAACAUUGUAUGGGGCAACGACACCCGCUACUGGAACGUAAAGUGAGUAGUCCAUCCAUCGUUUUUAAUUAAAUCAAUAUAUAUAUAUAUAUAUAUUAAUUAAUGUGUGUUUUUGAUUUAGUGAUGUGGCGGAAUUGCAUCAAGUGAGCUGGCUAGAGGUGACCGGCGGCGUGGAGGGAGCCUCGGCGGCGAAGAGCUACGAAGUAGGGUUUCGCGUGUCGUUGAAUCCAGAUGCAUUUGGGUGGGGAAAGUAUCCCAUUUAUAUCAUGAUUAAGAGAGGGAAGGAAGAGAAGGUUUCGUGGACUAAGAUUUCGAUAAACCCUAAUCACCAGAAAACCCCGUUUGAGAUUAGAGGGAGGUUGCUCAAAUCUGAUCAUUCCACCGACAUUGGGAAGCUCAGCUUCGGAUUGUACGAGGUUUGGAGUGGCAAGUGGAAGGGAGGUCUCAAGAUUCACAAUGCAUUUGUCAACCAGUUAUGAUUCAUUUCAUUUUUAUACUAUCUUUUAUCGUGCUAUUUAUUUCAUUUAAUUUGAGAAUAUCUGUACCUUCCUAUACAGAUCGAUACUAUUGUUAUGUAAUUUUCGGAUAUCUAAUAAAAAAAGACUGAGUGUGAUUGUU